rnacentral:rRNA from 1 species
UACGGGGGGGGCAAGCGUUGUUCGGAAUUACUGGGCGUAAAGGGUGCGUAGGCGGCCGUGCAAGUCUGGCGUGAAAGCCCCGGGCUCAGCCCGGGAAGUGCGCUCGAAACUGCGCGGCUCGAGUGCCGGAGGGGAGAGUGGAAUUCCUGGUGUAGCGGUGAAAUGCGUAGAUAUCGGAAGGAACACCAGUGGCGAAAGCGGCUUCCUGGUCCAGCACCGACGUUCAGGCACGAAAGCGUGGGGAGCAAACAGG